AAGUCGUAACAAGGUUUCCGUAGGUGAACCUGCGGAAGGAUCAUUAAUGAAUUUUGGAGUUCUACUGUGCCUGCCGUUCAUUCGGAUGUGUGCACGUAGUCUCUAUAAAUCCUUAUCAACACCUGUGCACCUUUAAAAAGGGGGGAGUCUGAUUAAGCAUUUUAUGAUGCUUAUGACGAAUAACCUCUUUUCUUAUACAAACUCUUUUAAUGUCUAUUAGAAUGUUCUCUGGCCGCAAGGCUAUAAAAUAUAAACAACUUUUAACAACGGAUCUCUUGGCUCUC
rnacentral:misc_RNA from 1 species